rnacentral:misc_RNA from 1 species
GAAUAAUUGAGUCAAGCUUGCCACCAACCUCUAGGCCAGCAGAUAUAACGAAGCUCUUAGUUCGUCUGACACAGCGCAAAGCUUAAAUAGAAACACACUCCACACACGAGUGAAAUUUGAGAGAAAAUACUCUGCUGGAUAUUUUAUUCUUCAAAAAAUAAAGAUGAAAUACACAUUUUAUGAGCAUUUAUAGAGUUUUAG